CGGUUCGAUUCUGGCUCGACCGAAUCUCUAAUGCGCCGAUGCUGGGUCCCAAGUCCCAGAGGAAGAAAGCAGAGGGGAGA
rnacentral:ribozyme from 1 species